rnacentral:misc_RNA from 1 species
GAAAGGCGAAACGUAAUGUGAAUCGCAACUAACAGUGAAUCAUCGAAUUUUUGAACGCAGGCCGCACUUUUCGGUAUUACUUUUGUGAUACCGAAAGGUAUCUACGUAUGAGUGUCAGCCAAAUAUACUUUCGGUUCAUGAGGGCCGCAUAUCUCUUGUAGAAAUGUGCAACUCGUGAAUACACAUGUGUCUUGUGACAUAUCACUUUGACCUUAACAUGUGUCUGGCCUCAUAUGUGGAAGAUUACCCGCUGGAUUUAAGC